rnacentral:rRNA from 1 species
UGGGGAAUAUUGGACAAUGGGCGAAAGCCUGAUCCAGCCAUGCCGCGUGAGUGAUGAAGGCCCUAGGGUUGUAAAGCUCUUUUACCUGGGAAGAUAAUGACUGUACCAGGAGAAUAAGCCCCGGCUAACUUCGUGCCAGCAGCCGCGGUAAUACGAAGGGGGCUAGCGUUGUUCGGAAUCACUGGGCGUAAAGCGCACGUAGGCGGAUUUUUAAGUCAGGGGUGAAAUCCCGGGGCUCAACCUCGGAACUGCCUUUGAUACUGGAGUUCUUGAGUCCGGGAGAUGUGAGUGGACCUGCGAGUGUAGAGGUGAAAGUCGUAGAUACUGGUAGGAACACCCAGUGCGAAGGCAGCUCGCUGGACAACACGUUACGCUGAGGCGCGAAAGUGCGG